GAUGAAGAACGUAGCGAAAUGCGAUACGUAAUGUGAAUUGCAGAAUUCAGUGAAUCAUCGAAUCUUUGAACGCAUAUUGCGCUCUCUGGUAUUCCGGAGAGCAUGCUUGUUUGAGUAUCAGUAAACACCUCAACUUCCAUAUCUUUUUUGAAAUGGGAGUUGGACUUGAGUGAUCCCAACGCUUUUCCUCACCGAAAAGUGGCGGGUUACUUGAAAUGCAGGUGCAGCUGGACUUUUCUCUGAGCUAUAAGCAUAUCUAUUUAGUCUGCCUAAAAAACAGGUUAUUACCUUUGCUGCAGCUAACAUAAAGGAGAUUAGUUCUUGUGCUGACUGAUGCAGGAUUCACAAAGACAGGCUUCGGCCGACUUUGUAAACUCGAUCUCAAAUCAAGUAAGACUACCCGCUGAACUUAAGCAUAUCAAUAAGCGGAGGA
rnacentral:misc_RNA from 1 species